rnacentral:rRNA from 2 species
UACGGAGGGUGCAAGCGUUAAUCGGAAUUACUGGGCGUAAAGCGCACGCAGGCGGUCUGUCAAGUCGGAUGUGAAAUCCCCGGGCUCAACCUGGGAACUGCAUUCGAAACUGGCAGGCUUGAGUCUCGUAGAGGGGGGUAGAAUUCCAGGUGUAGCGGUGAAAUGCGUAGAGAUCUGGAGGAAUACCGGUGGCGAAGGCGGCCCCCUGGACGAAGACUGACGCUCAGGUGCGAAAGCGUGGGGAGCAAAC